UUUGGUUAAGUUAGAAAGGGCGCACGGUGGAUGCCUUGACACUAGGAGUCGAUGAAGGACGGGACUAACGCCGAUAUGCUUCGGGGAGCUGUAAGUAAGCUUUGAUCCGAAGAUUUCCGAAUGGGGAAACCCACCAUACGUAAUGGUAUGGUAUCCUUAUCUGAAUACAUAGGGUAAGGAAGACAGACCCAGGGAACUGAAACAUCUAAGUACCUGGAGGAAGAGAAAGCAAAUGCGAUUUCCUGAGUAGCGGCGAGCGAAACGGAACAUAGCCCAAACCAAGAGGCUUGCCUCUUGGGGUUGUAGGACAUUCUAUACGGAGUUACAAAGGAACGAGGUAGACGAAGCGACCUGGAAAGGUCCGUCGUAGAGGGUAACAACCCCGUAGUCGAAACUUCGUUCUCUCUUGAAUGUAUCCUGAGUACGGCGGAACACGUGAAAUUCCGUCGGAAUCUGGGAGGACCAUCUCCCAAGGCUAAAUACUCCCUAGUGAUCGAUAGUGAACCAGUACCGUGAGGGAAAGGUGAAAAGCACCCCGGAAGGGGAGUGAAAGAGAUCCUGAAACCGUGUGCCUACAAAUAGUCAGAGCCCGUUAAUGGGUGAUGGCGUGCCUUUUGUAGAAUGAACCGGCGAGUUACGAUCCCGUGCGAGGUUAAGCUGAAGAGGCGGAGCCGCAGCGAAAGCGAGUCUGAAUAGGGCGUUUAGUACGUGGUCGUAGACCCGAAACCAGGUGAUCUACCCAUGUCCAGGGUGAAGUUCAGGUAACACUGAAUGGAGGCCCGAACCCACGCACGUUGAAAAGUGCGGGGAUGAGGUGUGGGUAGCGGAGAAAUUCCAAUCGAACCUGGAGAUAGCUGGUUCUCCCCGAAAUAGCUUUAGGGCUAGCCUUAAGUGUAAGAGUCUUGGAGGUAGAGCACUGAUUGGACUAGGGGUCCUCAUCGGAUUACCGAAUUCAGUCAAACUCCGAAUGCCAAUGACUUAUCCUUAGGAGUCAGACUGCGAGUGAUAAGAUCCGUAGUCAAAAGGGAAACAGCCCAGACCGCCAGCUAAGGUCCCAAAGUGUGUAUUAAGUGGAAAAGGAUGUGGAGUUGCUUAGACAACUAGGAUGUUGGCUUAGAAGCAGCCACCAUUUAAAGAGUGCGUAAUAGCUCACUAGUCGAGUGACUCUGCGCCGAAAAUGUACCGGGGCUAAAUACACCACCGAAGCUGCGGAUUGAUACCAAUGGUAUCAGUGGUAGGGGAGCGUUCUAAGGACAGUGAAGUCAGACCGGAAGGACUGGUGGAGUGCUUAGAAGUGAGAAUGCCGGUAUGAGUAGCGAAAGACGGGUGAGAAUCCCGUCCACCGAAUGCCUAAGGUUUCCUGAGGAAGGCUCGUCCGCUCAGGGUUAGUCAGGACCUAAGCCGAGGCCGACAGGCGUAGGCGAUGGACAACAGGUUGAUAUUCCUGUACCACCUCUUUAUCGUUUGAGCAAUGGAGGGACGCAGAAGGAUAGAAGAAGCGUGCGAUUGGUUGUGCACGUCCAAGCAGUUAGGCUGAUAAGUAGGCAAAUCCGCUUAUCGUAAAGGCUGAGCUGUGAUGGGGAAGCUCCUUAUGGAGCGAAGUCUUUGAUUCCCCGCUGCCAAGAAAAGCUUCUAGCGAGAUAAAAGGUGCCUGUACCGCAAACCGACACAGGUAGGCGAGGAGAGAAUCCUAAGGUGUGCGAGAGAACUCUGGUUAAGGAACUCGGCAAAAUGACCCCGUAACUUCGGGAGAAGGGGUGCUUUCUUAACGGAAAGCCGCAGUGAAUAGGCCCAAGCGACUGUUUAGCAAAAACACAGCUCUCUGCGAAGCCGUAAGGCGAAGUAUAGGGGGUGACACCUGCCCGGUGCUGGAAGGUUAAGGAGAGGGGUUAGCGUAAGCGAAGCUCUGAACUGAAGCCCCAGUAAACGGCGGCCGUAACUAUAACGGUCCUAAGGUAGCGAAAUUCCUUGUCGGGUAAGUUCCGACCCGCACGAAAGGUGUAACGAUUUGGGCACUGUCUCAACCAGAGACUCGGUGAAAUUAUAGUACCUGUGAAGAUGCAGGUUACCCGCGACAGGACGGAAAGACCCCGUGGAGCUUUACUGUAGCCUGAUAUUGAAUUUUGGUACAGUUUGUACAGGAUAGGCGGGAGCCUUUGAAACCGGAGCGCUAGCUUCGGUGGAGGCGCUGGUGGGAUACCGCCCUGACUGUAUUGAAAUUCUAACCUACGGGUCUUAUCGACCCGGGAGACAGUGUCAGGUGGGCAGUUUGACUGGGGCGGUCGCCUCCUAAAGUGUAACGGAGGCGCCCAAAGGUUCCCUCAGAAUGGUUGGAAAUCAUUCGUAGAGUGCAAAGGCAUAAGGGAGCUUGACUGCGAGACCUACAAGUCGAGCAGGGACGAAAGUCGGGCUUAGUGAUCCGGUGGUUCCGCAUGGAAGGGCCAUCGCUCAACGGAUAAAAGCUACCCCGGGGAUAACAGGCUUAUCUCCCCCAAGAGUCCACAUCGACGGGGAGGUUUGGCACCUCGAUGUCGGCUCAUCGCAUCCUGGGGCUGUAGUCGGUCCCAAGGGUUGGGCUGUUCGCCCAUUAAAGCGGUACGCGAGCUGGGUUCAGAACGUCGUGAGACAGUUCGGUCCCUAUCCGUCGUGGGCGUAGGAAAUUUGAGAGGAGCUGUCCUUAGUACGAGAGGACCGGGAUGGACGCACCGCUGGUGUACCAGUUGUUCUGCCAAGGGCAUAGCUGGGUAGCUAUGUGCGGAAGGGAUAAGUGCUGAAAGCAUCUAAGCAUGAAGCCCCCCUCAAGAUGAGAUUUCCCAUAGCGUAAGCUAGUAAGAUCCCUGAAAGAUGAUCAGGUUGAUAGGUUCGAGGUGGAAGCAUGGUGACAUGUGGAGCUGACGAAUACUAAUAGAUCGAGGACUUAACCAUAUAA
rnacentral:rRNA from 1 species